AGGAAGAGCUUGUACAACUCCAGCAGCUUAUUGAACAUAUAAAAUACAGUUAGUGCCAGGUAUUACUGCUGUAGUGAGCUUCUGGAGCACCCACAGCUUGGCACAUGGCUGUCUCUAGCAUUGGUGCAUACUUGCGAACAGAAGGUAGCAAAUGCUUGGGGAAAACAAGCAAGGUGUGCAGGAGAGGACCUGUGGGGCAGGAAAUUAUGUCUUCUCCAUGACAAGGGACAACAGUGGUUCUUCUAGAUGGGGUCUACCUUACAUACUAGAAUGUUGAGCAAGACCAGUAAGGUGCUGUUACUGCUAUUUGGCAUUUGAUGAAAGAUAGAUCCAGAGGCUCAUUCAACAUGUGGGGAGCCAACGGUACUGCAUGGAAGUAAUAAAGGCUCAAGCCUUUAUUCCAGCUUACAACUCUGGCCAUCUGCACCAAGAACAAUCCUUGAGCUAAAAACAAUCUCUCAGCUUCCAGGAGCCACACUGAGUGGUUACGAUUUGCUUGUGGAUACCCGAAAGAUAAGGGGCCUAGCUUUCACUAGCUGUAGAGCAUGUUUGGGGUUGUAGGGAGCCCUUUGUGUUUUGACAACACAGCCCCCGCAUCCUUUCCAGGGCCUCCGAGGCCUCCAUCCCACAUCUCUGCCUGUGAAAGUAGGCAAGUUACAGUAAUUGCUCUUAGCCAUGCUUGGAAGCAGAUGCGGCCUCUGAAACAUUUUAGCAGUAAGGUCACAGUAUCUUUUCUCCAUGCUAAUGCAUUUUUCUUGAUGAAGCGAGUGGGUUGGGGAUGUUCUAAUGCUUGACAGUUCCCACAUGCUGAGCCUUCUUUUAAACAGCCACAUGCCCUGCUUUGUUUUUCAAUUUGUAUAGCAUCAAUUAGAUAUUGGGGGAAAGUGUUUUAUAUAUGCUGGUGAAAUGAGUGCCUUUUGACAUCAGUUAGGGAUCUUAUACCAUGAGUCUUCAGAACUGAAAUAAAAUUCAUGGCAAAUGCAUAAAGAAUGUAGCAAAAGGAGCAGAAAUAGAUGGUAUCUGUGUGGGA